rnacentral:rRNA from 1 species
AACGAACGCUGGCGGCAUGCCUAACACAUGCAAGUCGAACGAGACCUUCGGGUCUAGUGGCGCACGGGUGCGUAACGCGUGGGGAUCUGCCCUUUGCUUCGGAAUAACAGUUAGAAAUGACUGCUAAUACCGGAUGAUGUCGUAAGACCAAAGAUUUAUCGGCAAAGGAUGAACCCGCGUAGGAUUAGCUAGUUGGUGGGGUAAAGGCCUACCAAGGCGACGAUCCUUAGCUGGUCUGAGAGGAUGAUCAGCCACACUGGGACUGAGACACGGCCCAGACUCCUACGGGAGGCAGCAGUGGGGAAUAUUGGACAAUGGGCGAAAGCCUGAUCCAGCAAUGCCGCGUGAGUGAUGAAGGCCUUCGGGUUGUAAAGGCUCUUUUACCUAGGGAUGAUAAUGACAGUACCUGGAGAAUAAGACUCCGGCUAACUCCGUGCCAGCAGCCGCGGU